ensembl:lncRNA
GUCUCGUAAUUUGGGUUACUGUGUAGGUGGCCUCUUUCAUCUAUUCAUAACAAAGCUAAGCCUCCUGCCGCCGCCACCACCAAAGCCCCUUAGCUCGCCCGGGGCUCCCGGGGCGCGUUAACAGCGCACCAAGCUGGCUCCGGCGCCUGUCCGCCCGCGGGGCUGCUCCAACGCUCGGGUUUUGUUUACGAGAGCGGCGCGGAGAGAUGCGCAAGGCUCGGGGAACUAGGACCCAGGCCGCCAAAGGGUUGCAGCUGAGGCCCGGGGCUCGGGCCACUGGGAGGCUGCGUGGGCUGCUGACAGGUGUGGAGCGGCGGGAGGGAGGCCCUGGGGAGGAGCGCGAGAGAGGGAAACACUGACAAGCCCGAGGCUCAAGGAACAGAGGCGCCCCUGUGACAGGAGAUGGGUUUCCCCGGGUCAGAGGAGUGAGGUGGAGGAAAGGCAGGCGCCGAGAUUCUGGUUCUGGACAAUCCCUGGGGCCGGAGCUCCCAUACUUGAGGAGGUUCUCUCAUUUCCCUUGGCAACGGAGACCCAGGCUUUCAAACCUAGCACUUAGAAAGUUCUACUCAUCAUCUAACCUGAAUGAUCAUGGCUAAUAUUUAUUGAGUGCAUACUGCGUGCCGGGUCCCGCUUGAAAUUCAUUACGUGGAUUAAAACUCAUUUAAUACCCAUAACAACCCUGUUAGUGACUUGUUGUAAUCAGCCCCAUUUCGUUAGGAGGGGUGGAGACGUUGCGGAACUCGCCGGGGGUCCUACUGCUGGCAGACAGCAGAGGCCUUGCCACUCCCUAGAAAAUAUGUCCACCAAGAUGGAUGAGAAGCAACUGGCAUCAGCUCUGAACUUGGGUUGUUGACAACAGGAAGCUCAACAUGUGGUCCCCAUGGUGAGGGCAGCCUCACUCGUCACCCAUGGUGGGGAAGGCAUUGGACGCACAGACAGCAUCAUGCAGAGUCCCAAGGGCAAAUCCGAUGGAAGGCUGAGUGUUUACCUCGCCAUUCUGCCCCUUCUCUAAUCC